CGGUAUGUUGACAUUAGCUUGCUAGUAGCUUUCAUCAUGUCGCCAGCUAUCUAACUGGUGGUUCGAGGACAAGUUUGCACUAACACAUUUUUGGGGUACCUGGAUACGAUAGUGGCCGUUACCUGGCUAGAUUGUGGUGGAAGAGGAGAUGCGUGGUUUGAACAAAAGCUGGAUGAUCGUUCUUGCCUGGGCUGCUAUUGGAGGAUCUACGUUGAACAUUUACAUUUUCCUCAUCAGUCCCGCCAGAGAGCCUGCCUAAAAAUAAAGACAAGCAAGAGACUGACUGACAUGGGAAGUAAAAUUUCCUUCAGUAGAGGAGUCAAUGAUGAGGAAACAGUCAGCCUUAUCUGCUGCCCAUAGCAACCCUCCU